rnacentral:rRNA from 1 species
AAUAUUGGACAAUGGGGGCAACCCUGACCCAGUCAUGCCGCGUGUGUGAAGAAGGNCUNNGGUUUNUNAAGCAUUUUAAGGUGNNNNNUAGGCCUUUAGGUAAAUACCCUGAAGUUCUCUCGUCAUCAACAGAUGAAGCACCGGCUCACUCUGUGUCAGCAGCCGCGGUAAUACAGAGGGUGCAAGCGUUAAUCGGAAUUACUGGGCGUAAAGCGCGCGUAGGUGGUUCAGUAAGAUGGGUGUGAAAUCCCCGGGCUUAACCUGGGAACUGCUUUCAUAACUGCUGAGCUAGAGUACGGUAGAGGGUAGUGGAAUUUCCUGUGUAGCGGUGAAAUGCGUAGAUAUAGGAAGGAACACCAGUGGCGAAGGCGACUACCUGGACUGAUACUGACACUGAGGUGCGAAAGCGUGGGGAGCAAAC